CCCCAUUGUCCCCAUGUGUCCCCAUGUGUCCCCAUUGUCCCCAUGUCACCGUGUCCCCCCAUGUCCCCAUAUGUCCACAUAUGUCCACAUGUCCCCAUGUCCCCCCAUAUGUCCCCAUUGUCCCCAUAU
rnacentral:lncRNA from 1 species